GGCCUUUCCUUACGCCUGCACACUUCCUAUAUCGACCGAGCCGGCGGGUUCGCCUGCCCGGCUAUGGCGAUAAAGGAUUGCGUGCAAUAGACGCAGCGGACCCGGGGGCAGUACCCGGCGGCUCCACCAUAACCGGUGGUGUACUGGACACCGUUUCUGACGGGGCCGAACCAGGAUCGACGUGUGUUGAAAAGCGCUGUCUUUCGCUCGGAAUGGGACCACCGCAACGGCCCAUUACACAAGUGCCAACGAUAACGAAGCACUCGCGAUUGCGGCGUAACUGAUGGCCUAACGGCCUGACGUUACACCAAAAUAGCGCGGUCGGACCCCACCGGGCAACAGAAGGGGAUUCCAGCGGUUCGGGGAGCACCGGGCAACAGAAGCUCCCCACU
rnacentral:tmRNA from 1 species